UAAAUAACCCAUUUAACAGAAACACGCGGACCCCCUAGAGCAGGUCGGGUCGCGCGCAGGUCACCUUAAACGGCGCCUUUUUGGCGCUAAUGACCUUGGUGCAAAACGACACCGUUCUAUACCUCCUAUUUAAAACAAAAUUUUUCAUUUUUCUGUCAUUUUUUUUAAAUUUCAGAGAACCCCUUCCCCUUUCCUUUUCUCUGCUAGGGUUUCAAACCCAUCCUCGCGCAGUCGCCGGUCUGCCGCUCCUCCGUCAUGGACGGUGGUCGGAGCGGCCCCGUUUAACGUUUUUGAAGGCUACGCCUUUUCAGCCCAAAAAAACCAAGAGAAGAAGGCCCCUUUCACCCCUUUUUGGAUUUGAUUUCAACGACGGAGAGGAGAACUCUGACGGCGCGACCACAGGUUGGUUUAGGUGUCAGAGAAGCAUCAGAGACAUGGAGGAGCGGCACGCGAGGUGGCUGCUAACAUGCGGCGCUGCUCAAAGGGAGACCUAGGGUUUUUUUCUUGGCUAAAAGUGUUUUGUUUGUUGGGCUAAGGUUAAUUUGGGCCUAGGGUUAAUUUGGGUUUAGGGUUUGGCUUGAAAAUUGUUUUGUAACGGGUUGUUUAGAUUUUUGGACUUCAUAUCUAUUUUGAUCUUGUCUUUGUUUUGGUUUUGAUCUGGGCCCAAGCCAAAAUGGUCUAUUACAGGUUGCUUUUUUCUUUAUCACCUAAUUAUAAAAAUUUUCAUUUUCAUCAUCAA